GACGAACGCUGGCGGCGUGCUUAACACAUGCAAGUCGAACGGAAAGGCCCUGCUUUUGUGGGGUGCUCGAGUGGCGAACGGGUGAGUAACACGUGAGUAACCUGCCCUUGACUUUGGGAUAACUUCAGGAAACUGGGGCUAAUACCGGAUAGGAGCUCCUGCUGCAUGGUGGGGGUUGGAAAGUUUCGGCGGUUGGGGAUGGACUCGCGGCUUAUCAGCUUGUUGGUGGGGUAGUGGCUUACCAAGGCUUUGACGGGUAGCCGGCCUGGGAGGGUGACCGGCCACAUUGGGACUGGGAUACGGCCCAGACUCCUACGGGAGGCAUGAGUGGGGAAUAUUGCGCAAAGGGCGGAAGCCUGAUGCAGCAACGCCGCGUGCGGGAUGACGGCCUUCGGGUUGUAAACCGUUUGCGCCUGUGACGAAGCGUGAGUGACGGUAAUGGGUAAAGAAGCACCGGCUAACUACGUG
rnacentral:rRNA from 1 species